rnacentral:rRNA from 1 species
CAUGUCUUUUUGAAAAUAAUUUAAAGUCGGGCCUGCUCAAUGAAAAUUAAAUAGCCGCAGUAUUUUAACUGUGCAAAGGUAGCAUAAUAAUUAGUUUCUUGAUUGGGAAAUGGAAUGAAUGGUUUGACAAGAAAAUUUCUGUCUCUUUCUAAGUUUUAAUGAAUUUUAUUUUUAAGUGAAAAAGCUUAAAUUUGUUUAAAAGACGAGAAGACCCUAUAGAGUUUAAUAUUUAAAGUAAAAUUAUAAAUUAGAAUAGUUUUUUACAAAAAUUUAUUUGGUUGGGGUGAUUGAAAGAUAAAAUAAAUUCUUUUAAAUUUAAUUGGAUAUUUUCAAAUUUUUAAUCUAUAUGUUAUAAAUUUAAAAUAAAUUACCUUAGGGAUAACAGCGUAAUUUUUUUUUAAAGCUCUUAUUAAAAGAAAAGUUUGCGACCUCGAUGUUGGAUUAAAAUUAAUUUUUGGUGCAAUAACUAAAGAAUUAGGUCUGUUCGACCUUUAAAAUUUUACAUGAUCUGAGUUUAAACCGGUGUGAGCCAGGUUGGAUUCUAUCUUUAGAAUAAUUAAUAUAUAUUAGUACGAAAGGACCAUAUAUAAAUUAAAUUAAUUG